GAUGAACGCUGGCGGCGUGCUUAACACAUGCAAGUCGAACGGAAAGGCCCAAGCUUGCUUGGGUACUCGAGUGGCGAACGGGUGAGUAACACGUGGGUGAUCUGCCCUGCACUUCGGGAUAAGCCUGGGAAACUGGGUCUAAUACCGGAUAGGACCACAUUUUGGAUGGUGUGGUGGAAAGUUUUUCGGUGUGGGAUGAGCUCGCGGCCUAUCAGCUUGUUGGUGGGGUAAUGGCCUACCAAGGCGUCGACGGGUAGCCGGCCUGAGAGGGUGUACGGCCCUGUUGGGACGGAGACGGGGCGCAGACGCCGGGGGGGGGGGACAGGGGGAAAUAUUGCACAAGGGCCACAGCGCGUGCACGGCGACGGCGUGGGGGGGGUGACGGGCUUGGGGUUGGAACGCCCUUGCUCUGGGGACGAAGGGUUUUGGGGGCGGGUCCUGGAAGAAAAACCCCGGCAAAACCGGGC
rnacentral:rRNA from 1 species